GGCCCCCUUACCUGAGUGCCCUCCUCAGAUAACACCUAUUCAAACAGUCCCACUGUUUGGGGUGACUCCUCACCUCAAUUCUCCAUACAAUACCAUAUCUGCACCCAGGUACCAUCAUAAACACUGCAAAUAAUAAAAGGAACAACAAAGGAGAACUUCAAAAGGUGGUAAAAGGAAGGCGAAUUGGUCAGGGGUCCCAAGUCUGGAAGAACAAACUUUAUCCGCCAUCCAACAAGAGAGGAUGGAUCUAUUGCAAUCCUGGCUGGAAGAUCUUCCCCUUCACAGCUGCUUUGUGUGUGCUUCUGCUAGACACCUGUAGUGAACACAGUGAUGUCCACCCUGAUAUAUCUUCAGGAACAAAGAGCUUAUUGUCCCUGAGACUGACAGUGCCACCAGCAGACAGUCCUCAGCUUCCAGCCCCCUUCUGACAUUGCCCUGCCACCCAAGAUCUGCAGAUCAAGAAAAACUGUACUGAAGGAGCUAGCUAUAUUUGAGGAAUUACAUCCAAGUAUCCUCAUCCACACAUGGGACAGAGUUAGACAAUGAGAUCCUGGACUUUGAACUGAUGCUAUAAUUGGAUGAGACUUUGGAGGGAUUUGAGAAGUGGUCCAUGAUCCAUUUCAUAUGAACUUUUGUGUUUGGUGUGAGGAUCCUGGAUACUCACUUCUUGGAUGCCUUAGUUGUGCUCCACUGCCUUCAAA
rnacentral:lncRNA from 1 species